rnacentral:rRNA from 1 species
AAACCAGCACCUCAAGUGGUCAGGAGGAUUAUUGGGCCUAAAGCAUCCGUAGCCUGCUGUAUAAGUUUUCGGUUAAAUCCAUGUGCUCAACUAAUGGGCUGCCGAAAAUACUGUAGAACUAGGGAGUGGGAGAGGUAGACGGUAUUCGGUAGGAAGGGGUAAAAUCCUUUGAUCUAUUGAGGACCACCUGUGGCGAAGGCGGUCUACCAGAACACGUUCGACGGUGAGGGAUGAAAGCUGGGGGAGCAAACCGGAUUAGAAACCCGGGUAGUCC